CCCUUAGAUGUUCUGGGCUGCACGCGCGCUACACUGAUGCGAUCAACAAGUUUUUCCUAUGUCGAUAGACACGGGUAAUCUUUUGAACUAGCAUCGUGAUGGGGAUAGAUUAUUGUAAUUAUUAAUCUUCAACGAGGAAUUCCUAGUAGGUGCAAAUCAUCAGUUUGCAUCGAUUACGUCCCUGCCCUUUGUACACACCGCCCGUCGCUGCUACCGAUUGGUUGAUCUGGUGAAUUAUUCGGACUGCCGGCUGAAGGGGUUUCCUCAUCUGCCAGCGGAAAGUCUUGUUAACCCUAUCAACUAGAGGAAGCAGAAGUCGUAACA
rnacentral:rRNA from 1 species